rnacentral:rRNA from 1 species
GGAAUCUUCCACAAUGGGCGCAAGCCUGAUGGAGCAACGCCGCGUGAGUGAAGAAGGUUUUCGGAUCGUAAAGCUCUGUUGUAAGAGAAGAACGUGUGUGAGAGUGGAAAGUUCACACAGUGACGGUAACUUACCAGAAAGGGACGGCUAACUACGUACCAG